rnacentral:ncRNA from 4 species
GCAUAUCAAUAAGCGGAGG